rnacentral:rRNA from 1 species
UACGAAGGGGACUAGCGUUGUUCGGAAUCACUGGGCGUAAAGCGCACGUAGGUGGAUUUGUAAGUCAGGGGUGAAAUCCCACGGCUCAACCGUGGAACUGCUUGGUAUACUGGUUGUCUUGAGCCACUUAGGGGCAGCCGGAACAGACGGUGGAGCGGUGAAAUGCGUAGAUAUCGUCUGGAACGCCAACGGUGAAAACAGACUGCUGGGAGUGUGCUGACGCUGAGACACGAAAGCCAGGGGAGCAAACGGG